rnacentral:rRNA from 1 species
AACGAACGCUGGCGGCAUGCCUAACACAUGCAAGUCGAACGAGACCUUCGGGUCUAGUGGCGCACGGGUGCGUAACGCGUGGGAACCUGCCCUUAGGUUCGGAAUAACUCCCCGAAAGGGGUGCUAAUACCGGAUAAUGUCUUCGGACCAAAGAUUUAUCGCCUUUGGAUGGGCCCGCGUUGGAUUAGCUAGUUGGUAGGGUAAAAGCCUACCAAGGCGACGAUCCAUAGCUGGUCUGAGAGGAUGAUCAGCCACACUGGGACUGGGACACGGCCCAGACUCUACAGGAAGGAAGCAGGGGGGAAAUUGGGGCAAGGGGGGAAAGCCGGACCCAGAAAGGCCGGUGAGGUGGUGAAGGCGUGAGGGUUGAAAAGCUCUUUUACCCGGGAUGAAAAUACAGGAACCGGGGAAAAAAGCCCCGGUAACCCCGGG